ACUCUGUUUCUCCCAAUAGAGGCUCCUCCCCUCUGGGGUCUUCCCAUUUUUAUCAUGUGGUGAUGCACUUAUUGGGAUGCAUUCAGAGGUUCAUUCUCUUUCAGUGAAAGCGGGCAGGCCAGUCACUCCAGCUCAACCACACCAUGGAGGAUGUCUCUGUGGUCUCAUGUCCACCUUCAUUUGCAAGAUGUCUGCCACAGUUCCAGAUAAUCCGUGGGAUCCCAGGGGAAAGAAGACGUCUCCUCCUGUAUUGUGACAACUAGCAGGCACACAAAAAUGAACACCACGUGGGCCUUGACCUGGAGAGCUAGCAAGCAAACUGGCAUCCCAUGUCAUUUCAAAAUUGUAUAGUAAGCAAGGAGAGGCAUGCAGUGUUCUGGAAGCACCGAGAAGGAUCCCUCAGCUCUACUGAGGGAUGAUUCCUGGGGAGAGACCAAGUGGACUGGCUAUAGAUGCUGAGAAUGAGUUUGACUAUGAAGACAAUGCUGUAAGAUAAAGAUGCAGACAUACACAGUGUUUGAAGAAGUCUGGAUGAAAAUAACUCGCACUACCAUCUAUGCGGCUGCCCCAAAGCCAGAGUGGAGAAGUACUGACAUUGUAGAAACCUUCACUUUCUAUGUACUGUUUACUUUUUUGUACAGUGCUAGUGAAUUAUCAGAAAGAAAAACAUAAAUUUUUCCAAGUAAAAAAAAA